GAGUUUGAUCAUGGCUCAGAUUGAACGCUGGCGGCAUGCCUUACACAUGCAAAUCGAACGGCAGCACGGGAGCUUGCUCCUGGGUGGCGAGUGGCGAACGGGUGAGUAAUGCAUCGGAACGUAUCCUGGAGUGGGGGAUAACGUAGCGAAAGUUACGCUAAUACCGCAUAUUCUGUGAGCAGGAAAGCGGGGGACCUUCGGGCCUCGCGCUCUUGGAGCGGCCGAUGUCGGAUUAGCUAGUUGGUGAGGUAAAGGCUCACCAAGGCGACGAUCCGUAGCAGGUCUGAGAGGAUGAUCUGCCACACUGGAACUGAGACACGGUCCAGACUCCUACGGGAGGCAGCAGUGGGGAAUUUUGGACAAUGGGGGCAACCCUGAUCCAGCCAUGCCGCGUGAGUGAAGAAGGCCUCGGUU
rnacentral:rRNA from 1 species